rnacentral:lncRNA from 1 species
AAGAAUAUAUUAUAAUCUAUAUUUUCUCAGAACCAGAGAAGAAAAGGUAGGAGAAUAAUUCUUAAUAGCAGGUCAACUUCUUCUCUGUCAAAGAACUCACAUGAUGGUGAUUUCCAGUGGACAGAGAAUUAAACAGGACCCAGGUGUCCAAGUGAAGCUCUGCAGGUAGAACCCCAGUGCCGAAGUCCACAUGGACACGGAGCCACCUAGCACUGGCAGCCGCCCAUUCUCUGGCAGGAAAUGAAGGAGAGAAGACCAAAGGCAAGACUUCUUCCAGAGACUCCAGCAAGCCACUGUACCAACUAUGCCUUAUUCAAAUGGUGUGCAGUAUAUUCUUCAUUAUAAUAAAAGGUCUACCCAUACAAUCACCCAGAGAGGACUAGGAUGUUAAAAAAAACUGCGUUCUUCAGAAGGGCAUAGGCCAGGAUCAAAUGCCACCUCUGCCUGGAGAAAAACUUGGAAAGCAUCUGAGAACAGGGCCAAGAAGAGGAUUGUCUUGCUGAAUGCUAAUACUCAUCAGCCUAAGCAUUUGUCCCUGACUCCCACCUAGUGGCUUCUUCCAGCACUGCACAGGGACAAAGAACCACCACUGAUGCCACCUGAGCCCGGCCCAGGAGCCCCUUGGGAGCUGAGCGCAGAAAGAAAGCACGGACACACCUACUCCUUUCUCAUCUCUCACUCAAGUUCACACCUGUCACAGGGGAGCAGCCCAUUCUUCUGAUGGACCACAGAUGCUCCAGUGCCAGAAGAUCUGCAGUCCCAGAUGAGCAGCAGCAGUACAAGAUACAUUUCCCACUAUGUAAUCCCUCCCCUCUGCUAACAGUUGAUUCACUCUGGGGUAGACACUGGACCUAAGGUGUGCAUCCAUAGCUUGUGAAUAAAUUAAAAGUCUUUAAUGUCUAUUUCUUUUACACUUAACGCUUCUUCAUUGAUCUGGAGGACUUCGCUCAAAAAUAAUUAACUGGGUCAAUCAGAUCCUUUUCCUUAGAAACUUGAGUUUAAAAAGAAAACAUAUUGAGAAAACAUGGAAAGAAUUUGUCAGCCAACAAGAGUAAACUCAAACCUAACAGAAGUCUGUGGCAGUCACUCUGAGCUGUCUUCCUGAGGGCCACUUUCCCCCACUCUAUCAUCAUUCUUUUCUGACAGAGGCCACCUCCCUCUAUGGCAGGUGGAAGUGCCAAUACUUGCUUUCCCAGCCUCCCUUGCAGCUAGGGUAUGCACAGGUGAACAAAUUCUGGCCACUGCAGCUAAAUGGGAAGUCUGCUAGGGGGUUGCAGAGAGUUUCCCUCCUGAUUAAAAACAACAAAAACAUACUAAAGAAAUGAUUCUCUACCUCUGCACACAGUUGUAUAGUUGUGUCUUGUAAGGACAUGUUGCCUGCAGUUCUAGUGGCCAUCUUGCAACUGUUAUGGGAUGUGCCUGAGCAAAAACCACCCCUUGAGGAUGGCAAAGAAAAAAGAUGGGAAGAACCAGUACCCAUGAGGUCACUCAGAGCCACUUAUUUAACCCUGGGACUGUCUGUCUUCUGGACAUCUUGUUAGUGGUCUAUCUUGUUAUUGUUUACAUCAUUUUACUGGAAAAAGUAUCCCAACUGAUAUAGGUGUCACGAGGCAGAGUUGGACCAUGUCAGGCCAGUGUCAUGGCCAAGCAGGAAUUCUAGGUGUGAACAAUGCCAAUGUGUCUACAGAGGAGAAGGGAGCAAAUAUGCAAGGGAUGCACAGACAUCAUGCAUGAGAAGGCGCUGGGCAGUGCUGCCUAAUCCUUCAAACCAUCUUACUAGUUCCAACUCCAAUCCUAACCCACAUGGGACUUUAAAAAAAUAAUUCAACUGAGUCUCCAGGGUUGAACGCAGCGCUUCUUAAACUUUAAUGUGCUUACGAGUCACCUGGAGAUGGUUCAGCAAGUGUGAGAUGGGAGCCCAUAGUCUGCAUUUUUCACAAGCUACGAGGGGAUAAGAAAGCUGCUGAGCCACAGACCAAAAUUUGAGCAGCAACAACUUCUAACUAAAAGUGUCAAUCUAAAGCACUUGAUGAGUUUGCUCACCAGUCUGAAUUCUAUUCCCAUACAGAUUAAGACCUUGUGUGGAAUGUGGAUGUGCUGAUCAUAAAAUGACUUUAGGUCUGCAAGAUCUAAAACACAGACAGGCUAUCUCUGUCCAGAAUAAAAACCUUAACAUGCAGCCCUUACAACUUGGAAUGUUUAUAUGAACUUCUGACCCCCUAAAAGUACUUGCUUCGCCAUGCAUAGGUUAGUGAUGGCCAUAAUUACUCUAGAAGAUUUAUGAAUGCAAUCACUUUUAGGGAAAUCUCUUCAAAGGAAGGCAUUCCCUAAACCAUUGUAAAUAACCCCAAGACAAAACUGCAAAUCUGAAUGCAAGCUGUUUUCUACCAAUGCAUCUUGAAAAAACCAACAACAAUGUCAACUGCCUUUGGAUCAAAAAUAUUUUUAAUAAAUUUCCAAAAACUGUUUUAAAAGUUAGAUUCAUUGUUUAUACCAAAUGCUAAAAAAUAUUGUUGAUGGAUUGGAGUUAACCAUAAAAUAAAAAUCAAACCAUAAACUUACUAGAGGAAGAUACAGGUGAACAGUUAUCUGUUCUGAGGUUGGGAAAGGCGUUGCUAGGGCCAAAAGGAAAACAAGAAACCAAAAUAGGAAAGACUGAUAGAGUCAAGUACAGUUGUUUAAAAUUCUGUGUCUCAGAAAGCACCUAAACGUUAUUUAAAAACAGAGUGAGGAAAAUAUAUGCUACAAAUAAAGCAAACGGCUAAUAAAAGGUCAUUCAAAUAGAUAAGAAAAACACUAAAAUCCUAAUAGAAAACAACAGCAUAGACUACGAAUAGACUAGAGUGGGAGAGGUGCAUCCAAGAGGCUCAAGGUGAUUUCUGGGUGUACAGGGAAAAAUAUGGGAACUAUUUUUUAACCUAUCCUUUAAAACUCUAUUUUGGUGAACAGUGGAUACCCUAAAUACCCUGACUGACUUGAUCACUAUGUGUUAUAUACAUGUAAGGAAAUUUCACAUGUACCCCAC